rnacentral:rRNA from 1 species
AUGAACGCUGGCGACGUGGAUAAGGCAUGCAAGUCAAGGGGGUCUCGAGAGCAAUCGAGAGGCAACCGGCAGACGAGGUAGUAACACGUAGGAACGUACCCCGGAGUCUGGCAUAGCUUCUCGAAAGAGAAGGUAAUUCCAGAUGAUCUCGUAAGAGUAAAGGUUUACUCCGCCUUUGGCGGAGAGAUUUCGCUCCGGGAGCGGCCUGCGGCAUAUCAGCUAGUUGGUGAGGUAAUGGCUCACCAAGGCGAUGACGUGUAGAGGAGCUGAGAGGCUGAUCCUCACCGAUGGGACUGAGACACGGCCCAUACACCUACGGGUGGCUGCAGUCGAGAAUCUUCCACAAUGGGCGAAAGCCUGAUGGAGCGACGUCGCGUGAUUGAUGAAGUCCUUCGGGACGUAAAAAUCUUUUAUCGGGGAGAAAACCGCCGCAAGGCGGUGUGAUAGUACCCGAUGAAUAAGGGGUUGCUAAACUCGU